rnacentral:ncRNA from 1 species
GCCAGGUCUGUGGUUGAAAGUCGAUGCCAGUCGCAGGCAAAACGAUCCACGUAAUCCGGCCAAAGCGCCGGGGAGCAUGGUGCGGCUUAGAGGUAAGUCCGGCCAGAGUAAUUCUGAGAGGGCCAGUAGUGGGAGGGCAGAGGCCUUAUGAGCGAACGUCCCAGCCGGCGAGUGUGGGGUCAAAGACCAGGUCAGCUGGGC